UCCAAUGCUACCUUAUUUAUUUUGUUGUUCAAAUUGCUCCAGAUUUAGCCAUUGGAAGCUCUUUCAGGUUGGCGUCUAUGUCUUUUGAUGAACUCUCAUCAUUUUGCUUUUUGAGUACUUGCUUGCUUUCUAUUACUGUAAGAUGCCCUAGGCUCGUUUUGUAUUUCCCUUACCCCAGCCCAAGAAUAACCUUAUAUUUCCAAAUAUUACAUUUGAUUUGCAGUUUGUCCCAGAUUUACCUGGUGGGAACCUCUUCAAACUAGUUGUGGUUUUCACGAAGUCCAUUCCUCUGGCAAUUGAUUUUGUCCAACCUCAUGGGAUUCCUUAAAUUCAGUGGUUAGUUUCUGUCCUAAGUUUUCGCAUGUUUAUUUUCUUUCUAGAACAUAAGCAUAUAGUAGGCACUCAAAAUAAAAUUAUUGAUAAGUUGAUAAUUGUGAAUGUUAUAGUCCUAUGCCACUCCAUAUUCUGGGGUCUGGCAAAGUAAGCCACAUGAAAAUCUUAGGCCUAAUAUAGUGGAGAUUUAAAGUGGGAGUAAUGACGCCCACUUCAGAAGAAUGUUGUGAGACAGAAGCACUUAAUACUUAUAAUUCAAUCCUGUCUCAUCAAAACACAUAUCCUUCAUAACUGAUGAGCUCUUUGGGAACAGGGACCAUAUAUUAAUCACGUGUCUAUCUUAAAC
rnacentral:lncRNA from 1 species